AAUUAAAAAUAAAACUAAAAGGACGCGGUAACCUUGACCGUGAUAAUGUAGCAUAAUCACUCGCCAUUUAAUUGAUGGAUAGUAUGAAUGGUUGAACGAAUAUUCCACUGUCUUAAAGAGAAUUACAAGAAAUUGAAAUAAUAGUUAAGAUGCUAUUUAAAACUGUAAGACGAAAAGACCCUAUAGAGCUUAACUAUAGUCUCUUUACUAAAGAAGAAAAAUAAUUUUCUUAUAUAAAGAGAUUGGUAGUUUAGUUGGGGCGACUGUCUUCUAAAAUAAACGAAGAUAAGCAAUGUUAAUAAAAAACUUAUUGUAUAAUAAAUUUAUUUAACAAUUACAAAAGUAGGCUAUAUUGACCCGUUUUUACUAAAAAACAAAGAAAAACGAUCAAUUGAUAAAAGCUACCUUAGGGAUAACAGGAUAAUUUCAUUUUAGAGCUC
rnacentral:rRNA from 1 species